rnacentral:rRNA from 1 species
GACAGAGGUGCCGAGCGUUAGGCGGAAUCACUGGGCUUAAAGCGUGUGUAGGCGGGUCGUUAAGUGUCUUGUGAAAUCCCACGGCUCAACCGUGGAACGGCUGGGUAUACUGCCUGUCUUGAGCCAACUAGGGGCGAGCGGAACAGACGGUGGAGCGGUGAAAUGCGCAGAUAUCGGGAGGAACACCGGUGGCGAAGGCGGUUCUCUGGGCCUGACCUGACGCUGAGGAGCGAAAGCGUGGGGAGCAAACAGG